ACGAACUGUCCAAACGUUAUUCGGAAUCACUGGGCUUAAAGGGUGCGUAGGCGGCGUAGUAAGUUGGAUGUGAAAUCCUACGGCUCAACCGUAGAACUGCGUUCAAUACUGCUAUGCUUGAGGGAGAUAGAGGUAAGCGGAACUUCGGGUGGAGCGGUGAAAUGCGUAGAUAUCCGAAGGAACACCAGUGGCGAAAGCGGCUUACUGGGUCUCUUCUGACGCUGAGGCACGAAAGCUAGGGUAGCGAACGGG
rnacentral:rRNA from 1 species